rnacentral:rRNA from 1 species
UACGUAGGGUGCGAGCGUUGUCCGGAAUUACUGGGCGUAAAGAGCUCGUAGGUGGUUUGUCGCGUUGUUCGUGAAAACCGGAGGCUUAACCUUCGGCGUGCGGGCGAUACGGGCAGACUGGAGUACUGCAGGGGAGACUGGAAUCCCUGGUGUAGCGGUGGAAUGCGCAGAUAUCAGGAGGAAUACCGGUGGCGAAAGCGACUCUCUGGACGGUAACUGACGCUGAGGCACGAAAGCGUGGGGAGCAAACAGG